CUAGCGGCAGGCCUAACACAUGCAAGUAGAACGGUAACAGAGAGAGCUUGCUCUCUGCUGACGAGUUGCGAACGGGUGCGUAACGCGUAUGCAACCUACCCAUAACAGGGGGAUAGCCCAUAGAAAUGUGGAUUAAUACCCCAUAAUAUCAUAGAUUGGCAUCAUGAAAUGAUUAAAACUCCGGUGGUUAUGGAUGGGCAUGCGUGACAUUAGCUAGUUGGUGAGGUAACUGCUCACCAAGGCGACGAUGUCUAGGGGUUCUGAGAGGAUGAUCCCCCACACUGGUACUGAGACACGGACCAGACUCCUACGGGAGGCAGCAGUGAGGAAUAUUGCGCAAUGGAGGAAACUCUGACGCAGCCAUGCCGCGUGCAGGAAGACUGCCCUAUGGGUUGUAAACUGCUUUUAUAUAGGAAGAACUACAGCUACGUGUAGCUGUUUGACGGUACUAUACGAAUAAGGACCGG
rnacentral:rRNA from 1 species